UCUUCUUGCUCUGGCAUCCUAUGAGAAUUAUUCUCAUUCCAAAGUCAGCAUAUGGCAGUAGGAAGGCAACCCACCGGAAUCACACUUCCAUCCCAGCCACCAGCAGAAGGAAGAAUGCUGAGCUCCUUCUGAACAGCUCUCCUGAAUGCCUCCUCAGACAGCUUCUCUUCACAUUCUAUUGGAAAGCAGUUGCUCAUAUGGCCGGCAUUUGAACGAGGCUGAGAAUAUUGCUAUGCUUCACAAAAAAAGGCUUGGCAUCUGGACAGAACUGAUGUUUCCAUAUCCUGAUUGCAUGUGUGUAUACCACAUAUGUUCCUGAUGUCCUCAGAGGUCAGGAGGAGUUCCUUGAUCACCUAGUAGUGGAAUUUGAGAUGGUUGUGAGCUGCCACGCUGGCAUUGGGAAUUCAACUCAGGUCCUUUGCAAGAGUCACAAGUGUUCUUAAGUACUGAGCCAUCUCUUUA